UAGGCUGUUCUUUCCUCCUUGGUGGCUCUGGUUAUGGUAGGGCCCUCGGUCGAUCUUCCCUACCUUCAGGCUGGCAUCGGAUGAAUCUGUUAAGCCAACCUCAUCUGAUGAGCUCUUCGAUCUCAUCUCGGAGCUGAAUACACUCCUCUAUGUCGUGGCUGUAGUCACGAUGAUAGAGGCAGAACCUAUUAGGGUUGCACUUCUCGAGGUGUGUGUGCAUCUUUUUCGGCCUUGGCAGCUGCUCCCUGAUCUUCAUCAGUAUUUGAGUUUUUGGAGCAUUGAGAGGGGUGUAGCUGUGGAAUCUUCCUGGGGG
rnacentral:lncRNA from 1 species